AUUCCAGCUCCAAUAGCGUAUAUUAAAGUUGUUGCAGUUAAAAAGCUCGUAGUUGAACUUCAGACCUGGCCGGGCGGUCUGCCUAACGGUAUGUACUGUCUGGCUGGGUCUUACCUCUUGGUGAGCCGGCAUGCCCUUCACUGGGUGUGUCGGGGAACCAGGACUUUUACCUUGAGAAAAUUAGAGUGUUCAAAGCAGGCCUAUGCCCGAAUACAUUAGCAUGGAAUAAUAAAAUAGGACGUGCGGUUCUAUUUUGUUGGUUUCUAGAGUCGCCGUAAUGAUUAAUAGGGAUAGUUGGGGGCAUUAGUAUUCAGUUGCUAGAGGUGAAAUUCUUGGAUUUACUGAAGACUAACUACUGCGAAAGCAUUUGCCAAGGAUGUUUUCAUCA
rnacentral:rRNA from 1 species